ACAAACUUGGUCAUUUAGAGGAAGUAAAAGUCGUAACAAGGUCUCCGUUGGUGAACCAGCGGAGGGAUCAUUAGAGAGUUCUCAUAAAACUCCCAAACCCAUGUGAACAUACCUUCUGUUGCCUCGGCAGGUCGCGCCGGCGCCGAACCGCGUAGCACCCCACCUCCGGUAGGGCCUACCCGGGACGAGCCGGCGGUCUCCCCUGCCGGCGGCCCACGAAACUCUGUUUUAGCAUAUUGAAUUCUGAACGUAUAACUAAAUCAGUUAAAACUUUCAACAACGGAUCUCUUGGUUCUGGCAUCGAUGAAGAACGCAGC
rnacentral:misc_RNA from 1 species